UACGUAGGGUGCAAGCGUUGUCCGGAAUCAUUGGGCGUAAAGCGCGUGUAGGCGGUUCGAUAAGUCUGCUGUGAAAGUCCAGGGCUCAACCCUGGAAAGCCGGUGGAUACUGUCGGACUAGAGUACGGAAGAGGCGAGUGGAAUUCCCGGUGUAGCGGUGAAAUGCGCAGAUAUCGGGAGGAACACCAAUUGCGAAGGCAGCUCGCUGGACGUCGACUGACGCUGAGACGCGAAAGCGUGGGGAGCAAACAGG
rnacentral:rRNA from 1 species